UCCGGCUUAUCACCGGCAGUUUCCUCAGAGUUCUCAGCAUUACCUGUUAGCAACAGAGGACGAGGGUUGCGCUCGUUGCGGGACUUAACCCAACAUCUCACGACACGAGCUGACGACAGCCAUGCAGCACCUGUGCUCCUCCCACCCGAAGUGAAGAAAUCCAUCUCUGGAAAUCAUAGAGGGCAUGUCAAGGCCUGGUAAGGUUCUUCGCGUUGCCUCGAAUUAAACCACAUGUUCCACCGCUUGUGCGGGUCCCCGUCAAUUCCUUUGAGUUUUAAUCUUGCGACCGUACUCCCCAGGCGGGAUGCUUAGAGCGUUAGCUGCGCCACUGAGAGGUAACCCCCCAACGGCUAGCAUCCAUCGUUUACGGCGUGGACUAC
rnacentral:misc_RNA from 1 species